UUGACGUAGAGCUGUUGAGGCAUGGAGAGGUGAUAUACAGGUGAAGAUUGUGGGACGACCAGACCGUGUCCAUUGGAGCUACAGCGACAUUGUGUUUUAUGGCGAGGGAUGCGUUUCUAUGGCAACAGCCUAUGGUGAGAUGAGAUCUCAGAUUUGGCGUAAAGCUGUUGAGGCAUGGACCGGUGAUAUACAAGCGAAGUUUGGGGGGCGAUCGGACCGUGUCCAUUGGAGUUAUAGCGACAUCGUCUUUUAUGGCGAG